ACAGAAGACUUACGCUGAACUUCCUUUUCCUGCCUGGGUCUCUCCACACUUUGGCUGAUCAUUACGUGGCUGAUAAAGACUGGUUGUGAAUGCCAUUGCAAAGCUUGUAUGUUAAAAUGUGCUCAUAUUGAAAUUAGAGCAUUCUUUGUCAUUCCUCCUUCUGCUCUUGUAUAGCCUGUCAACGGGGCUCCUUUGGGUUCUAUACUUGCCUUUGAUGCUGGUAAAAGGGAGCAGCUAGUAAAUUCAGGCUUAGAAUAGCCCAAACUGAUUAGGUCUGUGGAAUUCCCCUACUCUCAUCAGUACUUCUUCAAUUUUUUUUUUUUCAGCUCAAAUGUUCUUUUGCAGUUACUAACUGUCCUGAGCCUUCAGUAACCCCCACUCCAUGCUCCACCUCCAUUCCUUUCAUCAAACUAACAUGUGGGUCCAGAACCACUGAAGAGUGCUUUUUAAAAAGAGUGAGCACGACAAGCUUUUAUUGGUGAUGCUCUCAGAGUUUUCACUUCUAAGGGAGCUCUGGACACAUCGUGCAGUGGGGAGACCACACCACUCAGAGGCAGAAGACUGGACUUGAACUGUGCAAGCACUCAGAAACAUGAUCCAGGUCUUAUCUUCAACUCUGUGAAACUGAAGGCAUUAGAAGAGGUGGCUUCCAAUGAGUUGUCAGGGGUUACAGUUUCAUGGCCCUGCCAGGAACCACAUUGGCUCCAGCCCAAGAUGACCCUGGCUCAGGUUACUGGCCUUCAUCCUGACCUCUGUACGAGUGACCCUGACUGGACCUCUCCACUUAUCUGUGCCUUAGUUUCUCCAUCUGUAAAGUAAUAUGUGCUUUUCUUCCCACAAGAGUGAAUGAAAUGAUAUGGGUGAAAGCAUAUUGGAGGAAAGCUGGGACAAGAUGAAUCGGAGAUCUCAUAUUACUGUUGUGUCUCAGGCUGCAAUUAUGAAAAGAAACUUGCCUUGUCUAAUGGGAUGUCUGGAUCCGAAUUUGCAAUCCCCAUUGAAAGGCAUUAUGCAGCUAUUUCCAUGGCCAACAAGGUAAUGCUGUCAAGUUUCACCCCAGCUCUCAGUAGGAUAAUAUUGAACCUCAGUUAAAGGGUAAAUGUGUUUAGGUGGACUCUAAUUUACCUCCUCGUUCCAUGCAUUUUAUGAGGAAUGUAUGUAGUUAACUGUUAUCAGGUUGUUAAGCAAUUUGAUGAGGUGUGAAGUAGACUUUUAAUUGCUUUAUUUACAACAUACUUAUCAUUCACUAAGAUUCAGUUGGGGCGAAUUCUCUACUUAGUGGAUUAAUGUAAGUGUGGUGUAGUGAACUAUAAUUUGGCAAAACCAGAAGCUGAAAAAUAGCCAUUGAAAUUUUAUCAGUCAUAGUCAUUUGAGAA